UACGGAGGAUGCGAGCGUUAUCCGGAUUUAUUGGGUUUAAAGGGUGCGCAGGCGGGCUUUUAAGUCAGCGGUGAAAUCUGGUCGCUUAACGAUCAAACUGCCGUUGAAACUGGGAGUCUUGAGUAUAGAUGAAGUAGGCGGAAUUCGUUGUGUAGCGGUGACAUGCUUAGAUAUAACGAGGAACUCCGAUUGCGUAGGCAGCUUACUAAACUAUAACUGACGCUCAAGCACGAAAGCGUGGGGAUCAAACAGGAUUAGAUACCCUGGUAGUCCACGCCGUAAACGAUGAUUACUAGUUGUAUGCGAUAUGAUAGUAUGUGACUAAGCGAAAGCGAUAAGUAAUCCACCUGGGGAGUACGCCGGCAACGGUGAA
rnacentral:rRNA from 1 species